AUACAGAGGGUGCGAGCGUUAAUCGGAUUUACUGGGCGUAAAGCGUGCGUAGGCGGCUUUUUAAGUCGGAUGUGAAAUCCCUGAGCUUAACUUAGGAAUUGCAUUCGAUACUGGGAAGCUAGAGUAUGGGAGAGGAUGGUAGAAUUCCAGGUGUAGCGGUGAAAUGCGUAGAGAUCUGGAGGAAUACCGAUGGCGAAGGCAGCCAUCUGGCCUAAUACUGACGCUGAGGUACGAAAGCAUGGGGAGCAAACAGGAUUAGAUACUCUGGUAGUCCACGCCGUAAACGAUGUCUACUGGCCGUUGGGGCCUUUGAGGCUUUAGUGGCGCAGCUAACGCGAUAAGUAGACCGCCUGGGGAGUACGGUCGCAAGACUAAA
rnacentral:rRNA from 1 species